rnacentral:rRNA from 1 species
GGGUUGUGAGGUUAAGCGACUAAGCGUACACGGUGGAUGCCCUGGCAGUCAGAGGCGAUGAAGGACGUGCUAAUCUGCGAAAAGCGCCGGCGAGGUGAUAUGAACCUUUGACCCGGCGAUGUCCGAAUGGGGAAACCCAGUGUGUUCCGACACACUAUCGUUAACUGAAUACAUAGGUUAACGAGGCGAACCGGGGGAACUGAAACAUCUAAGUACCCCGAGGAAAAGAAAUCAACCGAGAUUCCCCCAGUAGCGGCGAGCGAACGGGGAGCAGCCCAGAGUCUGAAUCAGCUUGUGUGUUAGUGGAACGGUCUGGAAAGUCCGGCGAUACAGGGUGAUAGCCCCGUACACGAAAAUGCACAGGCUGUGAACUCGAAGAGUAGGGCGGGACACGUGGUAUCCUGUCUGAAUAUGGGGGGACCAUCCUCCAAGGCUAAAUACUCCUGACUGACCGAUAGUGAACCAGUACCGUGAGGGAAAGGCGAAAAGAACCCCGGCGAGGGGAGUGAAAAAGAACCUGAAACCGUGUACGUACAAGCAGUGGGAGCACCUUCGUGGUGUGACUGCGUACCUUUUGUAUAAUGGGUCAGCGACUUAUAUUCUGUAGCAAGGUUAACCGUAUAGGGGAGCCGAAGGGAAACCGAGUCUUAACUGGGCGUUAAGUUGCAGGGUAUAGACCCGAAACCCGGUGAUCUAGCCAUGGGCAGGUUGAAGGUUGGGUAACACUAACUGGAGGACCGAACCGACUAAUGUUGAAAAAUUAGCGGAUGAUUUGUGGCUGGGGGUGAAAGGCCAAUCAAACCGGGAGAUAGCUGGUUCUCCCCGAAAGCUAUUUAGGUAGCGCCUCGUGAACUCAUCUUCGGGGGUAGAGCACUGUUUCGGCUAGGGGGCCAUCCCGGCUUACCAACCCGAUGCAAACUACGAAUACCGAAGAAUGUUAUCACGGGAGACACACGGCGGGUGCUAACGUCCGUCGUGAAGAGGGAAACAACCCAGACCGCCAGCUAAGGUCCCAAAGUCAUGGUUAAGUGGGAAACGAUGUGGGAAGGCACAGACAGCCAGGAUGUUGGCUUAGAAGCAGCCAUCAUUUAAAGAAAGCGUAAUAGCUCACUGGUCGAGUCGGCCUGCGCGGAAGAUGUAACGGGGCUAAACCAUGCACCGAAGCUGCGGCAGCGACACUAUGUGUUGUUGGGUAGGGGAGCGUUCUGUAAGCCGUUGAAGGUGGCCUGUGAGGGUUGCUGGAGGUAUCAGAAGUGCGAAUGCUGACAUAAGUAACGAUAAUGCGGGUGAAAAGCCCGCACGCCGGAAGACCAAGGGUUCCUGUCCAACGUUAAUCGGGGCAGGGUGAGUCGACCCCUAAGGCGAGGCCGAAAGGCGUAGUCGAUGGGAAACAGGUUAAUAUUCCUGUACUUGGUGUUACUGCGAAGGGGGGACGGAGAAGGCUAUGUUAGCCGGGCGACGGUUGUCCCGGUUUAAGCAUGUAGGCGGAGGUUCUAGGUAAAUCCGGUACCUUAUUAACGCUGAGGUGUGAUGACGAGGCACUACGGUGCUGAAGUAACAAAUGCCCUGCUUCCAGGAAAAGCCUCUAAGCAUCAGGUAACACGAAAUCGUACCCCAAACCGACACAGGUGGUCAGGUAGAGAAUACCAAGGCGCUUGAGAGAACUCGGGUGAAGGAACUAGGCAAAAUGGUGCCGUAACUUCGGGAGAAGGCACGCUGAUAUGUAGGUGAAGCCCCUGCGGGUGGAGCUGAAAUCAGUCGAAGAUACCAGCUGGCUGCAACUGUUUAUUAAAAACACAGCACUGUGCAAACACGAAAGUGGACGUAUACGGUGUGACGCCUGCCCGGUGCCGGAAGGUUAAUUGAUGGGGUUAGCGGUAACGCGAAGCUCUUGAUCGAAGCCCCGGUAAACGGCGGCCGUAACUAUAACGGUCCUAAGGUAGCGAAAUUCCUUGUCGGGUAAGUUCCGACCUGCACGAAUGGCGUAAUGAUGGCCAGGCUGUCUCCACCCGAGACUCAGUGAAAUUGAACUCGCUGUGAAGAUGCAGUGUACCCGCGGCAAGACGGAAAGACCCCGUGAACCUUUACUAUAGCUUGACACUGAACACUGGUCCUUGAUGUGUAGGAUAGGUGGGAGGCUUUGAAGCGUGGACGCCAGUCUGCGUGGAGCCGACCUUGAAAUACCACCCUUUAAUGGCUGGUGUUCUAACGUAGACCCGUGAUCCGGGUUGCGGACAGUGUCUGGUGGGUAGUUUGACUGGGGCGGUCUCCUCCCAAAGAGUAACGGAGGAGCACGAAGGUUAGCUAAUCCUGGUCGGACAUCAGGAGGUUAGUGCAAUGGCAUAAGCUAGCUUGACUGCGAGAGUGACGGCUCGAGCAGGUGCGAAAGCAGGUCAUAGUGAUCCGGUGGUUCUGAAUGGAAGGGCCAUCGCUCAACGGAUAAAAGGUACUCCGGGGAUAACAGGCUGAUACCGCCCAAGAGUUCAUAUCGACGGCGGUGUUUGGCACCUCGAUGUCGGCUCAUCACAUCCUGGGGCUGAAGUAGGUCCCAAGGGUAUGGCUGUUCGCCAUUUAAAGUGGUACGCGAGCUGGGUUUAGAACGUCGUGAGACAGUUCGGUCCCUAUCUGCCGUGGGCGCUGGAGAAUUGAGGGGGGCUGCUCCUAGUACGAGAGGACCGGAGUGGACGCAUCACUGGUGUUCGGGUUGUCAUGCCAAUGGCAUUGCCCGGUAGCUAAAUGCGGAAGAGAUAAGUGCUGAAAGCAUCUAAGCACGAAACUUGCCCCGAGAUGAGUUCUCCCUGACCCUUUAAGGGUCCUGAAGGAACGUUGAAGACGACGACGUUGAUAGGUCGGGUGUGUAAGCGCAGCGAUGCGUUGAGCUAACCGAUACUAAUGAACCGUGAGGCUUAACCUUACAACGCCGAAGCUGUU